rnacentral:rRNA from 1 species
AUGUGUGUCAGGCGUUGAGGACUGCACGCAGUGCUCGGUGUCUUGGCGUGGUCUGGUGGUGGUGUGGGCAUAGAGGUGCCUAGGACGCUGGCGUCCAAAUGGCCGUGCGCGACCCGUCUUGAAACACGGACCAAGGAGUCUAACAUGUGCGCGAGUCUUAGGGUGUGCAAGCCCUCGGGCGCAAUGAAAGUGAAAGUUCAGCGUUGGUUGAGCUGAGGUGAGAGCCGUUGCUGGCCUGACGCCACGGCGGCGCAUCAUCGGCCGGUCCAUCCUGCUCUC